CGGACAUCUGAUGCUUCCUGAAUAGAAAACAAACAAAAGAAAUCUAACAAGACCUAUCAAAGAAAAAUACUUGAAGUUGCGAUGCCACAUGGAAAACACGGUCUCAGACCCAAGCCACCUGCCAAAUUCACUUCAUCUGUGUGGAUACAGGGCUUUGAAAGUAAAGAGCGAUGUGGAGAUAAAGCCUGCAUAGACAAUGUUAAAGCAAAUUACACAGUACAGC